UACGUAGGGGGCGAGCGUUGUCCGGAUUUAUUGGGCGUAAAGCGCACGCAGGCGGUCUUUCAAGUUCGGAGUGACAGUUGUCGGCUUAACCGAGAAAGUGCUUUGAAGACUGAGAGACUUGAGGGCUCAAGAGGGACACGGAAUUCCGGGUGUAGUGGUGAAAUGCGUAGAUAUCCGGAGGAACACCAAAUGCGAAGGCAGUGUCCUGGGGAGCACCUGACGCUCAUGUGCGAAAGCUAGGGGAGCGAACGGG
rnacentral:rRNA from 1 species